GCUGACGAGUCCCAAAUAGGAUGAAACGCGCGUCC
rnacentral:hammerhead_ribozyme from 1 species